rnacentral:rRNA from 1 species
CAGUCGAGGGGUAUAGUUCUUCGGAACUAGAGACCGGCGCACGGGUGCGUAACGCGUAUGCAAUCUACCUUUUACAGAGGGAUAGCCCAGAGAAAUUUGGAUUAAUACCUCAUAGUAUAUAGCCCUGGCAUCAGGAUUAUAUUAAAGUCACAACGGUAAAAGAUGAGCAUGCGUCCCAUUAGCUAGUUGGUAAGGUAACGGCUUACCAAGGCUACGAUGGGUAGGGGUCCUGAGAGGGAGAUCCCCCACACUGGUACUGAGACACGGACCAGACUCCUACGGGAGGCAGCAGUGAGGAAUAUUGGACAAUGGGCGCAAGCCUGAUCCAGCCAUGCCGCGUGCAGGAUGACGGUCCUAUGGAUUGUAAACUGCUUUUAUACGAGAAGAAACACUCCUUCGUGAAGGAGCUUGACGGUAUCGUAAGAAUAAGGAUCGGCUAACUCCGUGCCAGCAGCCGCGGUAAUACGGAGGAUCCAAGCGUUAUCCGGAAUCAUUGGGUUUAAAGGGUCCGUAGGCGGUUUAAUAAGUCAGUGGUGAAAGCCCAUCGCUCAACGGUGGAACGGCCAUUGAUACUGUUAGACUUGAAUUAUUAGGAAGUAACUAGAAUAUGUAGUGUAGCGGUGAAAUGCUUAGAGAUUACAUGGAAUACCAAUUGCGAAGGCAGGUUACUACUAAUUGAUUGACGCUGAUGGACGAAAGCGUGGGUAGCGAACAGGAUUAGAUACCCUGGUAGUCCACGCCGUAAACGAUGGAUACUAGCUG